UACGUAGGUGGCAAGCGUUAUCCGGAUUUAUUGGGCGUAAAGGGAACGCAGGUGGUUUAUUAAGUCUGGUGUAAAAGGCAGUGGCUCAACCAUUGUAUGCAUUGGAAACUGGUAGACUUGAGUGCAGGAGAGGAGAGUGGAAUUCCAUGUGUAGCGGUGAAAUGCGUAGAUAUAUGGAGGAACACCGAUGGCGAAAGCGGCUCUCUGGCCUGUAACUGACACUGAGGCUCGAAAGCGUGGGGAGCAAACAGG
rnacentral:rRNA from 1 species